GCUUGUCUCAAAGAUUAAGCCAUGCAUGUCUUAGUGUAAAUAACUCUUAUGAAACUGCGAAUGGCUCAUUAAAUCAGUUAUCGUUUAUUUGAUGGUCCCUUACUACAUGGAUAACCGUAGUAAUUCUAGAGCUAAUACAUGCACAAAGGCCCGACUCACGAAUGGGUGCACUUAUUAGAUAAAGCCAACGCUGGGUAAAACCAGUUUCCCUUGGUGAUUCAUAAUAAUUAAGCGGAUCGCAUGGCCUUGUGCUAGCGACAGUCCACUCGAUUUUCUGCCCUAUCAUGGUUGAG
rnacentral:rRNA from 1 species